rnacentral:rRNA from 1 species
ACUCAAAUGAAUAGACGGGGGCUCACACAAGCGGUGGAGGAUGUGGUUUAAUUCGAAGCAACGCGAAGAACCUUACCAGGUCUUGACAUACCGGGAUUAGUUAUGUGAAAGCAUAGCGAUUGCCUUCCAAGGUGUAACCGGAACAGGUGCUGCAUGGCUGUCGUCAGCUCGUGCCGUGAGGUGUUAGGUUAAGUCCUUUAACGAGCGAAACCCCUAGGUUCAGUUACCAGCGCGUAAUGGCGGGGACUCUGGACCGACUGCCGCGAAAGUAGGAGGAAGGUGGGGACGACGUCAAGUCAUCAUGGCCUUUAUGACCUGGGCUACACACGUCCUACAAUGGGUGGUACAACGGGAAGCGAAGCCGCAAGGUGAAGCCAAUCCCUGAAAGCCACCCUCAGUUCAGAUUGUGGGCUGCAAUUCGCCCACAUGAAGCUGGAAUCGCUAGUAAUCGCGGAUCAGCUACGCCGCGGUGAAUAUGUUCCUGAGCCUUGUACACACCGCCCGU